rnacentral:pre_miRNA from 1 species
CAUGUACUCUCUUCGUCCAAAAAAACUUGUUUCUUAAAUGGAUGUAUCUAGCACCAAGUGCUAGAUACAUCCAUUUGAGAGACAAAUUUUUUGUGCUAGAUACAUCUAUUUGAGAGAUAAGUUUUUUCGGACGGAGGGAGUAUGUU